GGGUGCGAUCAUACCAGCACUAAUGCACCGGAUCCCAUCAGAACUCCGCAGUUAAGCGUGCUCGGGCGAGAGUAGUACUAGGAUGGGUGACCUCCUGGGAAGUCCUCGUGUUGCACCGC
rnacentral:rRNA from 1 species